rnacentral:rRNA from 1 species
CAGUCGCCGCGGGAAUACAGAGGGUGCGAGCGUUAAUCGGAUUUACUGGGCGUAAAGCGUGCGUAGGCGGCUUUUUAAGUCGGAUGUGAAAUCCCUGAGCUUAACUUAGGAAUUGCAUUCGAUACUGGGAAGCUAGAGUAUGGGAGAGGAUGGUAGAAUUCCAGGUGUAGCGGUGAAAUGCGUAGAGAUGUGGAGGAAUACCGAUGGCGAAGGCAGCCCCCUGGGCCAAUACUGACGCUCAUGCACGAAAGCGUGGGGAGCAAACAGGAUUAGAUACCCCUGUAGUCCCUGUCUCUUAUAC